UAGGGAAUCUUGCGCAAUGGGCGAAAGCCUGACGCAGCGACGCCGGGUGAGGGAUGAAUGCCUUCGGGUUGUAAACCUCUUUCAGCAGGGACGAAGCCUUCGGGUGACGGUACCUGCAGAAGAAGGUCCGGUCAACUACGUGCCAGCAGCCGCGGUAAUACGUAGGGACCAAGCGUUGUCCGGAUUUAUUGGGCGUAAAGAGCUCGUAGGCGGUUGUUCGCGUCGGAUGUGAAAGCUCAGGGCUCAACCCUGAGAGGCCAUUCGAUACGGGACGACUAGAGGUAGGUAGGGGAGAUCGGAAUUCCUGGUGUAGCGGUGAAAUGCGCAGAUAUCAGGAGGAACACCGGUGGCGAAGGCGGAUCUCUGGGCCUUACCUGACGCUGAGGAGCGAAAGCUGGGGGAGCAAA
rnacentral:rRNA from 1 species